rnacentral:rRNA from 1 species
UACGGAGGGGGCUAGCGUUGUUCGGAAUUACUGGGCGUAAAGCGCAUGUAGGCGGAUAUCUAAGUCGGAGGUGAAAGCCUGAGGCUCAACCUCAGAACUGCCUUCGAUACUGGAUGUCUUGAGUGCGAGAGAGGUGAGUGGAAUUCCCAGUGUAGAGGUGAAAUUCGUAGAUAUUGGGAAGAACACCAGUGGCGAAGGCGGCUCACUGGCUCGCAACUGACGCUGAGGUGCGAAAGCGUGGGGAGCAAACAGG